GUCUGUGACCAUCCCACGCUGAACGUGCCUGAUCUCACCUGAUCUUAGAAGCUGAGCAGGGUCGGGCCUGGUUAGUACUUGGAUUGGAGACCGUCUGGAAGUACCGGGUGCUGUAGGCU
rnacentral:rRNA from 1 species